rnacentral:rRNA from 1 species
UACGUAGGGUCCGAGCGUUGUCCGGAUUUAUUGGGCGUAAAGAGCUCGUAGGCGGUUCCGUAAGUCAGAUGUGAAAACUCAGGGCUCAACCCGGAGACGCCAUCUGAUACUGCGGUGACUGGAGUCUGGUAGGGGAACACGGAAUUCCUGGUGUAGCGGUGAAAUGCGCAGAUAUCAGGAGGAACACCGAUGGCGAAGGCAGUGUUCUGGGCCAGUACUGACGCUGAGGAGCGAAAGCGUGGGGAGCGAACAGG